GAUGAACGCUGGCGGCGUGCCUAAUACAUGCAAGUCGAGCGAACAGACGAGGAGCUUGCUCCUCUGACGUUAGCGGCGGACGGGUGAGUAACACGUGGAUAAACUACCUAUAAGACUGGGAUAACUUCGGGAAACCGGAGCUAAUACCGGAUAACAUGUUGAACCGCAUGGUUCAACAGUGAAAGACGGUCUUGCUGUCACUUAUAGAUGGAUCCGCGCCGCAUUAGCUAGUUGGUAAGGUAACGGCUUACCAAGGCAACGAUGCAUAGCCGACCUGAGAGGGUGAUUCGCCACAUUGGAAACGAGAUCCGGUUCCGACUCCAACGGGAGGCAGGAGUAAGGAAGCUUCCGGAAUGGGCGAAAGGCUGGAGGGGCAACGCCGGGUGAGUGAAGAAGUUCUUCGGAUCGGAAAACUCUGUUAUUAGGGAAGAAAAAAUGUUUAAGUAACUAUGCACGUCUUGACGGUACCUAAUCAGAAAGCCACGGCUAACUACGUG
rnacentral:rRNA from 1 species